rfam:Ipomoea nil DNA, scaffold: scaffold0317, cultivar: Tokyo-kokei standard.
UUCAGAGUGGCACAGUGGAAGUGUGGUGAGCCCAUAACCCAUAGGUCCCAGGAUCAAAACCUGGCUCUGAUA